UACGUAGGGGGCAAGCGUUGUCCGGAAUUAUUGGGCGUAAAGCGCGCGCAGGCGGUUCUUUAAGUCUGGUGUCUAAGUGCGGGGCUCAAUCCCGUGAUGCACUGGAAACUGGGGAACUUGAGUGUAGGAGAGGAAAGUGGAAUUCCACGUGUAGCGGUGAAAUGCGCAGAUAUCAGGAGGAACACCGGUGGCGAAGGCGGAUCUCUGGGCCAUUACUGACGCUGAGGAGCGAAAGCGUGGGGAGCGAACAGG
rnacentral:rRNA from 1 species